rnacentral:rRNA from 1 species
CCUACGGGAGGCAGCAGUGAGGAAUAUUGGUCAAUGGGCGCGAGCCUGAACCAGCAAAGUAGCGUGAAGGAUGACUGCCCUACGGGUUGUAAACUUCUUUUAUAAAGGAAUAAAGUGAGGCACGUGUGCCUUUUUGUAUGUACUUUAUGAAUAAGGAUCGGCUAACUCCGUGCCAGCCGCCGCGGUAAUACGGAGGAUCCGAGCGUUAUCCGGAUUUAUUGGGUUUAAAGGGCGCGUCGAUGGGUUGUUAAGUCAGUUGUGAAAGUUUGCGGCUCAACCGUAAAAAUGCAUUUGAUACUGGCAGCCUUGAGUACAGUAGAGGUAGGCGGAAUUCGUGGUGUAGCGGUGAAAUGCUUAGAUAUCACGAAGAACUCCGAUUGCGAAGGCAGCUUACUAAACUGCCACUGACAUUGAUGCUCGAAAGUGUGGGUAUCAAACAGGAUUAGAUACCCGAGUAGUC